UGCUUUUAUUUAUUUUUGUGUGAAGGCAUGAAAUAUAAUGGUGCUCUAUUUGCAUUUGUAUGGGCAUUAAUGUGGGCAUGCAAUCCUUCAUUAAUCCAAAGUCAUGUACAAAACACUAGCUUGUUAGGAGAUGAAAAGUAUUCAGUGAAUGAACCAGAUUUCAGCCAAGACCAUUAAGGAAUUUUAUUCUUGAGAGAGUACAAAUGUUUUUGCACGUCUUUGCUCAAAGCUUUUAGGAUGAUUUAAGUUUCUUCGAAGCUUGCUUGGAAAAAAGUUUGGUGAUCAAAUUUCAGAUAUUGUUAGCAUCCAAGUGCUCUUGGGUUUGUAAACCAGAAAUGUCAAUCCAAACUGAAGCUUUUGAUAGUGAUAUCAGAGCCCUUGAUGCUGGUGAUCAAAUUCUCAAAUCAAGUUACUAGCCUUUUGAUUGCUUCAGAUUUCUGAAGCCAAAGUCUUUGUGCUCUAAAUUCAGUUCUUGGCCAUGUAAUCUUGUCAUGCUUAGAUAGCUAUAUCUAGUGUCCUGCCAGCUUAAUUUUGAUGCGUAAGUAUCAAUUAUUAAAAGUUAGAUUCAUUCUG